UUCUGACCUUCCCUGCAAGCCACUGCCGAUCGAUCGACAGCCCAAUCAGCACCAGCAUAAAUAUGCUCUCUGCCAUAGCCUCCUAAUCUCUUCUCUUAUCUACUUGUAGUACGUGUUCUUUCCCCUCCACCGCGGCCAGAGAAGGAGGAGCAUCGAUCCAUGGCGCGCUUCUUCGGCCGCCUGUGGGACAGAGCUCAAGGCAAGCUGGAUGUUGUGAGGAUAUGUGAGAAAAGGUGUUCGACGAACUGGCCGUCCUCAACGCCGAGAAGAACGCCAAGCUCCUGGACGUCAAAAAUCUCCACGUCGCCACCCUCAUGGUUUACAACUCCAUCAACAAGCAACUGGUGGGACCUCACAAGGACCCUCCAUGCAUGCAGGUCGUCAAGGAGAAAGCGGAGGGCUUCCGCGACAAGGGGAUAACGCAGCAGGAGUUCCGGGAGCUGAUCAUGGAGUGGGUGAGGAUGGACCUCCGCCUCGUCCUCGCCAACAAGGCCGCGGUGGCCGUCCUGGCGGCACCGCUGCUCGCCGUCACGGCCAAGAACGCCGGCAGGCAGGUGCCGAGGAUGAGGGACGCGGUGGAUAAGGUGCCCACGCCGCUGCUCUUCGUCGUCUUCUCCGCCGGGCUCAUGCUCCUGCAGGACAUCAGGGCAGGCAAGCAGUGAACACCUGAACCGGACGCGGUGAGCAAUGCGCGAUGUAUUUAAGAUGAGUGUGCACCUUUACUGGAAAUUUGUAUGCAGGCAGCUCGGUGUGAAAAAUUUGUAGCCAAAGAAAGUGGUAAAGGGCCGUACGUAAUGGCAUUCAAUCUUAAUAUGGUUAUCAGGCGGCUCCACAACUGAAUUUUUAGAAUUUCAGUGUUCGUGCAUUUGAAGGGCGGGUG